UUCAUUAGAUGAAAGACAGGUCAGAUGACAGGCAGACUGACUAAUUAAGAUAACCAGAACAUAUUUUAACAUUAUUUACCAAUAUAAAAUGCUUAAAAGAGAUUAAUAUAAUUCCCAAACCCCAUUCGGUCCAUCGCAGACACACUCUCAUCAAAUCCUUUGGACACUUUCACGUCUCUCGUUCCAGAUGUAACGUUAAGCUUUUACUUCUCUUGUAAUGGGCAGUUGCAAACAAGUGGCUAAAUAAGAAUACAGAAGUUGUCGGGGACAUUAAACAUCAUCAGCCGAACAGUCACAUGCUCCAGAUUUCCACAUGGAAAUCCCCCCGAGGGAUCUACAAGAGCCGAAGCAUCUGAAUGAUGCAGGCUGUUCGUGGCUUCAUCAACACAGCAAUGGCUACAUGAUUCAGUGUCUUGAGAGAAGCCUAGAGGAAGUGACACUUUGUCAGCACUGGCCUGACAGUGACCCUCGCAGCCUGCUGAAUCAAAACCGUGAAGAGACUUCCAGCAGAACUUACAGCCUGUGUGAUGGAGAAGUAAAUGCAGUAAGUUAAUUUCAACAAGCAUUUACUGUUCAAUCAUAAACAACCCACACAUUAAAAAAAAACUCACUUGUAUGAUGGCGGUUCUAUGCAAUUACAGAAAAUAAGCACAUUAUCAUCCUGAUGCCAGAGAGAGACUGUAGAACUAUAGACCAUAGAACAUAAUUGAUUAAAUCCAUUGAUAAUACUAACAGUAUCAUCAGAUCAAGUGUUAGUUAGAUUCAGCACACCCAGAGAAUAUAUUCUAUUGGUUAUUAUUAUCAUCAUUAUGUUGCUCUAUUUAAUAGUUCUUAACUGAAUAAUUUAUCACACGUCAUUCCAAACCCAAAUGCUAGCAUUUUUUUGUGUAACGCAAAAAGGAUUUUUGAAGAAUCUUAAUCUCUUCUAUUCAAUAGUUCAUUUAAACUCAAAAAACGCACAACGAUAAGUCAUAAAACUAUCAGAACAAUCCAUAUGAUAGUAGUCCAUAUUUUAUGACUGCUCAUGAACUACUCAUAUGCUUUUACAAAUGCUUUACCACUUACAAUAUGAACUACUCUGCUUUUACAGUGUCCUUUUUGGAGCUUGUCAGAUUAACAAGGAAAUUAGCUUUCAGUGAUGACUUUUCUACCUUUGGAUGUCAUGGAAAAAAUAACAGUGUACAGAUUUGGAAUGACAUGAAAUGAGUUCUUUUUUGUAAAACCUUAGGAUAUUUAAAAGAGACACAAAUGAAUCAAUAUUUGAGUUCAUAAAUAAACACACACACACAGUGCUUAACAAAUUUAUUAUUCGCACAUAAUACAUUUUUUUCUUU